GGCUGGUUAGCUCAGUAGGUUAGAGCGUGGUGCUGAUAACGCCAAGGCGGCAGGUUCGAUCCCCGUUCGGUCA
rnacentral:tRNA from 1 species